UUGUUUUCUUUCUUCCUUCCUCUCCACCCAUUUAUUCCCCAUUUUUUCCAAAAAAUAUUUAAGCUUUACAUAGCAAGAUCUUUAAAAUAAGCAUGAGGAACCCUCCCAUUAAGCCAUGCUUUGCUCUGAAGGACUCUCUUCAUUUGGGUCCCCUAGAAGGCGAACCCUGAGACAAGGAUUUGAAUGCAAGUAGUAAUUUGGGAAGUAAUAGGAAAGUGGGGAAGUGAGACAGGAGGGGAAGGAAGCCAUGAAAGGGUAUAUCAUCAAGACAGUUAUCACUGAGGGCAGUUGGAGCUUAAUUCUGUCAAGAAACUCUGGGAGCUAGUGUAGAACAUUAACCUCAGAGUUCUCCUGCCCAAAGGGUGAGGAGUAAUGGGGCUGGGAUACUAAUCCACCAAUUCCCAUUAUUCACUGGCUAAAAUUGCUCCCUGGAAGUAUUAAUUCCUCCACUCUUCUCCCUUGCCAGAGCACAGGAAAUCCUAAUGGCUAGAAAGAGCACUCAGGCAGAAUUGCAUGUGCAGGCAGUUGGAGGCUGAGUCCAUGCAUAAGAAAAUGUUAAGUGCCCAGGGGAUAUAGGCAGGACCCCAACACUGUCUUCCACAGGAUAAAAAUAAAGGAAAUUCCUCCCAUUUUAAAUUCUGGCCCGGUUUCCCUAUACUCCUGAAGAUGGCUAGCAAAUAAAGAUUCCUAGACAAAGUAAAAUAAAGUGCCUCAAAUAUUCAACAAUGAAACUGCAAACCAAUUACAACCUAUAGAUAAAUUCCAUUUACUAUGCUUUUCAAGACUGAUUUUGUUUACAAAUAUUUUAGCAGCAUAUGAGUAUUACAUACAGAUAAUAGGCAAAUAAUUAAUAAUACAGCUAAUAAAGAACAAAAAAGGAGUAAAAUUAUUUCAGAUAUUUUUGUUUGGCAAACAUGCUAUUUCUGGCUGCUGUCUAGAUUAUAUUUCCAUUUGUGGUGACAACUUUCAUGCAGUGUCUCAGUGCUGGUACUAUAACAAAUCAUUGCAAAUUGCCUUUUAGUUUUAAGGAGCAGAAGAGGAUAAACAAAAAUUCUAGGAGUAGGUGGUUUGAAGACAAAUAUUGCAUGAAUAAAAAAUAUCUAAUAACCAUCAUGUGAAUUCUAUGACUUUUCCCAUCUGUAUAAAUAAGCAAAAUAGAAAUGACUUGAGCACAUGUCUCAAGGCUGGAAAUAGUGCUGGUGCUCCCUGGAGUUCUCUGCAGAGAAUCUCUUGUGUCAGUGCAAGAAUAGAGCUGGCGUCCAAAUGGACCAUGUCCUGCAUUUCCCUAGAGGGCUUCCUGGAAGUCACAUGGAGAAAAGAUAAAAUGUCUGACCGCUGUGUCAUGCAAAGCCCUUCCCCAAGCACAUGACCAAAGAGUUGAUAGCCAAGCCAAAAAAAAUGCAUCAGAGCAUGUUAAUUCACUGGGGAGCAACAAAAGUCUGCAUUUGUUCAGGCAGUGUUAAAAAAGCUUGUGCAUUUGUGCCCUCACAACAUGACAGCCAUUUCCCCCCCAUUUCUAAGUCACAGCCUCCAUAAAAGCUGCUGGGGCUGUCUCGUAGAAGAGUGGAGAAAAAAUUGCCCUUCCCUCUUCUUUUACCUACAAUAUGAGUGGAUUCCCUUCAUGGAGGAGACAGCUUUCUGGAACUUCUUUCUAUUUACUUCUCUAAAAGUUCUCUUUACAACCAAGGAUGCCUUGGGUCAAUUCUAACUUCCCCUUAAAAUCAUAUACAGCUCCUCCUUGUCCCUAUCUUUCUCCCCCACAACCUGAGACAAAUGGUCAAGCAAUUCUAUUUUUCUUAUUUAUACAGAUGGGCAGAGUCAUCGAAUAUUGUGGCCUCCUUAUUGUGAGAAACACUGAUGACUGCCUACCCCACACAGUCAUCCCCCAACACCCCUACCAUCAUAUGCUCUGGAAAGGAGGAUCCUCCCCUAGUUCCUGUGGUGAAUCAUAAUUGGUCUGGAAAAGAUGUUCCUCACUGAUAAAAAGAGAAGCAUGAGAGGAAACUCUUCUUUAAUCCACCUCUGCAUGUGAUCAUCUGCAUUUGACUCCUUGAACUAUGGCAGCCAGCUGGAGCCAUGAAGUAAGCCACCCUAACAUGAGUGGCAGAAACAUGGAGAGAAUUUUAAAGCUGGACAAGACCCUCAGAAAGCAGAUAAUCAAAGUACCUCAAUCAAUUGAAGUCCUGGGACAUUAAGCAAUUUAUCCAAGGUCACAAAGCAAGUUACAAUGGAGCCACCAUUUACCUCUUGAAGGAGGAAACAGACCAUCAAUUCUGAAGAAUAGACUUUUGUCUCCAGAUUUAAUGGUUUUCCCUUUCUGCUGUUAGUAUAGAGAUCUUCAGUGUCUAAUGAGUAAGACAGUCUAAAAUUUUUCAUUUUUCAAAGAACAAAAACUCCUGACAUCUGCUUUCUUCCCUUCCCUAGCAUUAAAGAAAAAAAGAAAAAAACAAAAA
rnacentral:lncRNA from 1 species